rnacentral:rRNA from 1 species
CCCUUAGAUGUUCUGGGCCGCACACGUGCUACACUGAGUGGAUCAGCGGGUCAGGUUGCGCGAAAGCGUUUCCUAAUCUUUAAAUCCGCUCGUGAUGGGGAUUGACGGUUGCAAUUUUCUGUCAUGAACGAGGAAUACCUUGUAAGCGCGGGUCAUCAUCCCGCGCUGAAUACGUCCCUGCCCUUUGUACACACCGCCCGUCGCUCCUACCGAUUGAGUGGUCCGGUGAGGCUUUGGGAUCUGAGCGGAAAGAGCGUUUCGCUGUUUCUGCUCGGAAAACUCAGUCGAACCUUAUCAUUUAGAGGAAGGAGAAGUCGUAACA